rnacentral:rRNA from 1 species
CCCUUAGAUGUUCUGGGCCGCACGCGCGCUACACUGAUGAAUUCAACGAGCCUAGCCUUGUCCGAAAGGUCCGGGUAAUCUCUGAAACUUCAUCGUGAUGGGGAUAGAUCAUUGCAAUUAUCGAUCUUCAACGAGGAAUUCCUAGUAAGCGCAAGUCAUCAGCUUGCGUUGAUUACGUCCCUGCCCUUUGUACACACCGCCCGUCGCUUGUACCGAUUGGAUGGUCCGGUGAAAUCUUCGGAUAGCUGGUAGUUGGCUUGCCAUCUACUGCUAAAAGUUGCUUAAACCUUAUCAUCUAGAGGAACAAGAAGUCGUAACA